AGUCGACGGACUUUUCAUGAAGCCUAGCGAUUGAAAAGUUAGUGGCGGACGGGUGAGUAACGCGUGGGUAACCUGCCUUGUACUGGGGGACAACAGUUGGAAACGACUGCUAAUACCGCAUAAGCGCACAGCUUCGCAUGAAGCAGUGUGAAAAACUCCGGUGGUACAAGAUGGACCCGCGUCUGAUUAGCUGGUUGGUGAGGUAACGGCCCACCAAGGCGACGAUCAGUAGCCGGCCUGAGAGGGUGAACGGCCACAUUGGGACUGAGACACGGCCCAAACUCCUACGGGAGGCAGCAGUGGGGAAUAUUGCACAAUGGGGGAAACCCUGAUGCAGCAACGCCGCGUGAGUGAAGAAGUAUUUCGGUAUGUAAAGCUCUAUCAGCAGGAAAGAAAAUGACGGUACCUGACUAAGAAGCCCCGGCUAACUACGUGCCAGCAGCCGCGGUAAUACGUAGGGGGCAAGCGUUAUCCGGAUUUACUGGGUGUAAAGGGAGCGUAGACGGUUUUGCAAGUCUGAAGUGAAAGCCCGGGGCUUAACCCCGGGACUGCUUUGGAAACU
rnacentral:rRNA from 1 species